AACUUAGAAAAACGGUACUCAGUUCGGAUUGAAGGCUGAAAUUCGCCUUCAUGAAGCUGGAAUUGCUAGUAAUGGCAGGUCAGCAUACUGCCGUGAAUACGUUCCCGGGCCUUGUACACACCGCCCGUCACACCAUGAGAGUUGGAAAUACCCGAAGCCUGUGAGCUAACUUUUAGAGGCAGCAGUCGAAGGUAGAGCCAAUGAUUGGGGUGAAGUCGUAACAAGGUAGC
rnacentral:rRNA from 1 species